AUAAAAAUAAUGCAUUGUAUGCCGGAAGGGAUAAAUCUGGGGCUGAGUACAAGCAAAACAAGACCAAAGGAAGCUACCUGAGCAGGUAUUCCAGAUACUCAUGUCAUACACCAAGGUUGUACCAGUGCCCCUUUCUCUGUGACACAUCCAUCCACUGGAAACUUUCGUACAACUAGCUGAAAGAAGAGAAACAUCCUAUUUCAUGUCACUGGAGCCCUAAUGAUCGCAGCCAUUUCAGGAAAUGCCAUCAAUUACAGUGAGGAGCUCAUUCAGAAGUGAAAGAUGAGUUCCAUUCUCUGUUACUUAGAGCUGGAGGGAGGAUGGCAUUUCAAGAGGUGGCAAGUGGUCCUUCUUCACAGUCAUAUCUCUCAUUCUGCAAGCCAAAGACUCAAUCUGCAUAAUAUUCCAUGGUGUAUAUAUACCACAUUCUUUUCCCAGUCAUCAAUCACUGGACGCUUAAGUUGAGUAAUGGCUUUUUAUUGAGGGUAUUACAAAGCUCAAAUCUGAGAAAACCUUGUCUACCAUCAACCCUGACCUACAGAGGAGAGGCACCCCCAAGCUUAUUAGUGAUCCUGUCUCCGUCUUAUUGGCACAUCCUGAUGGCCUUGAUCUCUAGUUCUUCCUGUGGAGCAUAACCAUAUGGUUCUUUGCCAAGAUGUUAAGACCAAAGUCGGAGAGUGAACCCCAUGUCAAUGAAUUCUUGUUUUUCUGAUCUUACAUUCCAUCACUUUGAUCCAGUACUCUCAAAAUGCAAUCACAGUUGUACAUGUCUUCUCCUGUCAAUAAACGCUACCUUAGUACUGCA
rnacentral:lncRNA from 1 species